CUUCACCGAGCCCAGCCACAGCGGCCGGUCCUCGGGUCGGUCCUGGCCAUAGGUGGCGAUCAACGCCUGGGCCUC
rfam:Streptomyces sp. SCSIO 03032, complete genome.